CUUUUUCCACCAAAUUCUGGUUCCAGGCGGACGUGAUUUUGACUUGUGAAGAUCACAAAAUGACGGAUAAAACUGGAAAAACCGUGCUUCAGCGCUACAUGAGGAUCCCCCAACCCGAGGACAGGGUCAUGUGUGAGUACCUGUGGGUGGACGGAUCAGGGGAGGGAAUCAGGUCCAAGUGCAGGACAUUGGACUUUGAACCUAAACACCCAAAAGAAUGUCCUGUCUGGAACUAUGACGGCUCCAGCACGUACCAGGCUGAGGGCUCUAACUCUGACAUGUACCUCCACCCCGUGGCGCUGUACAGCGACCCCUUCCGGAUGGGCAAAAACAAGCUGGUGAUGUGUGAGGUCUUCAAGUAUAACGGCAAACCCGCAGAAUCCAACAACCGUAAGUCUUGCAAUGAAGUAUGUGAGAAGGCUGCGGAAGAAAUUCCAUGGUUUGGAAUAGAGCAGGAAUACACCAUGUUGGAUGUGGAUAAACACCCACUAGGAUGGCCCAAGAACGGCUUCCCAGGACCCCAAGGACCCUACUACUGCGGAGUGGGAGCCAACAAGGUAUAUGGGAGGGACAUAGUUGAGGCUCACUACAGGGCCUGUCUGUACGCCGGAAUCAAAAUCGCGGGCUGUAACGCCGAGGUCAUGCCUGCACAGUGGGAGUUCCAGGUGGGCCCCUGUGAGGGCAUCUCCGUGGGGGACGACCUCUGGGUGGCCAGGUACAUUCUGCACAGAGUCGCCGAAGAUUUCGGUGUCAUAGUAACCUUUGACCCUAAGCCAAUGCCAGGUGACUGGAAUGGCGCAGGCGCACAUACAAAUUACAGCACUGUCAAAAUGAGAGACGAUGGAGGAAUCAAGUGAGUUCAUUGAUUUCUUGUUGUUAUUAUAGCGAGGUACAAUCUGUUCAAUAAGGCACUGACCAUUAUUUGUUGUUGUUUACGUUUGCCGCAACCGUCCUUCAACUCCUGCUUUUUUUUCAGACACAUAGAAGAUGCCAUAGAAAAACUUUCCAAGUGCCAUGAUAAACACAUUAAAGCAUACGACCCCAAAGAAGGAGAGGACAACAAACGGAGGUUGACGGGACUUCACGAGACUUCAACCAUUAAUGACUUUUCUGCUGGAGUAGCCAAUCGUGGUGCCAGCAUCCGCAUUCCCCGCCAGGUGGCGCAAGACGGCUUCGGGUAUUUGGAGGAUCGGCGCCCCUCAUCUAACUGUGAUCCCUAUUCUGUGGUAGAAGUUCUCAUAAGGACUACCUGUCUGGAUGAAUGCUAAGUGUGCGUGUGUCUGUUCGAUUGGAUGUCUGUCUGUCUGUACUUAAAGUAACGGCACUCUACAAAUGCCACUUGAACAAGUUUUUAAAUUUUAAUAAUCAGAACAUGUGCAAUAUUCAAUAUGUCUGAUUUUAAUUGUUAUUUUUAUUAUAAGAUAUUAACCAUGUUUUAAAAUAAUAAAAUUUCUUACUAAACUUU
rnacentral:misc_RNA from 1 species